rnacentral:rRNA from 1 species
UACGUAGGUGACCAGCGUUGUCCGGAUUUACUGGGCGUAAAGAGCGCGCAGGCGGUCGUUCAAGUCGAGUGUGAAAGCCCCCGGCUCAACUGGGGAGGGUCACUCGAUACUGAUCGACUUGAAGGCAGGAGAGGGAAGCGGAAUUCCCGGUGUAGUGGUGAAAUGCGUAGAUAUCGGGAGGAACACCAGUAGCGAAGGCGGCUUCCUGGCCUGUUCUUGACGCUGAGGCGCGAAAGCCAGGGGAGCAAACGGG